UAAGUUUUCAGUCAUUGGACUAUUUUAUACUUUCUCCUGUUACUUAUUUACAUAUUGAUUUGUCUGUCAUUUCUGCAGAAUGUAGAUACAGAGUAAAUAUGAAAUCGGCAACAAAGAAUCUAAAGGAGAAUAAGGUAGACCUUCGUUCUGCAGGAGGACAAGAUCAAGACAAAUCUAGAAAUACUAUAGCAAAACAACCAAGGGAAAAUGAGUCCACUGCCGGAUUAACACACAAACAAUGUCUCGUGCGAUAAAAGACUGCUGGAAAUGAAGAGCAGCAGUUUGCUGGAUGCUGUAGAGUCAAACAAGGAAUGCAAGAAUCCUUUGUCAAAUCUUGCUCCUAGGCUUUGCAACUGACACAACACAAAUUGAUUUUUGGCCAAGUUGAUUUUCAUUUCUUCACAAGAAAACAUGAUUCCUUUGGGUCCAUCAACAAUGAUGUUACAAAAACAAUAAUGAUGUGAAAGAGCUUCUUGAUGAGAAAGGUAUGGAAGCCAAUAUAGCAGGAGAAAGAUGGUCAUCUUAAACAAGAUUGAAAGAUUAAAGCUUUAUCUGCCCAAUUUCAGCUUCAAAAAAUUGCUUCAACUGAUCUAGUUGAGAAACCUCUUGAUAGUGAUUUGCAAUAUGCUCAUAAACAAUCUUUUGAUUUCUCUUGAAUUUAACGUUUAUGUGGUUUCUUUUGUGAA